rnacentral:rRNA from 1 species
GUGGAUUAGAUACCCGGGUAGUCCACGCCGUAAACGAUGGAUACUAGCUGUUGGAGGUAUCGACCCCUUCAGUAGCGAAGCUAACGCGUUAAGUAUCCCGCCUGUGGAGUACGGUCGCAAGACUAAAACAUAAAGGAAUUGACGGGGACCCGCACAAGCGGUGGAUUAUGUUCUUUAAUUCGAUGAUAACCGAAGAACCUUACCAGGGUUUGACAUCCUUGGAAUUACUGUGAAAGCAGUGAGUGCUUUAUUGAGCCAAGUGACAGGUGAUGCAUGGCCGUCGUCAGCU